rnacentral:rRNA from 1 species
GACGAACGCUGGCGGCGUGCUUAACACAUGCAAGUCGAACGGGCCCGCCCCUGUUUUUGGGGGUGGGUUGAGUGGCGAACGGGUGAGUAUCACGUGAGUAACCUGCCCCCUGCUCCUGGAUAACUGCUUGAAAGGGCGGCUAAUACGGGGUGUGCCGGCUGGUCCGCAUGGGCCUGAUCGGGAUAGUUUCAUCUUCGGGUGUUUCGGUGGGGGAUGGGCUCGCGGCCUAUCAGCUUGUUGGUGGGGUGAUGGCCCACCAAGGCGGUGACGGGUAGCCGGCCUGGGAGGGUGGGCGGCCACACUGGGACUGAGACACGGCCCAGACUCCUGCGGGAGGCAGCAGUGGGGGGUAUUGCACAAUGGGCGGAAGCCUGAUGCAGCGACGUCGCGUGAGGGAUGGAGGCCUUCGGGUUGUGAACCUCUUUCUCCGGUGGUGAAGGCCCUGUCCGUUGCGGCGGGGUUGACGGUAGCCGGGUAUGAAGCGCCGGCUAACUACGUG